CAAAUAUGAAGAGGCAUAGACAGAGCAGACAGAGCUGAAGCAAGAUGGCUUUGGAUUCUGAACUGAGAGGAUUUGGAAGAUGAAGAUCUGAGGGUAACAAAGACUCCUGGGUUUGCAAAGCUCUGCAUCCUGGGGUUGACUUCUGAUGGGAAAACUGAGGCAGAGAACAUUAAUGGAUCAUGAAAAGAAGUGAAUUUAUCCAAACCUUCAUAGAAAUCACGUUGCCAUCAAAGAUUUUGAAGCAAGGCUUGGACUUCAAAUGAUAACAGUAUGGGUAAAGAUAUGAGAAGAGGACAUUCCAGGAUGAGGACAUGUAUGAGAAAAGGGGUGGAGAAAGGUAAGGAAUUUGAUGAUGUUCAUUAAAAGCUAUUGUAAAGUCUAUAGUCAUCACAUUAAUCAGAACUCUUGUGUUAAUAAGGGACAGUGUUUUAAGCCAAAAAGGAAAUUUAUUACCUCAUCUUACAAGAAAAUUCAAGCUUUGGCUUCAGGCAUUGGUGCAUCCAGGUGAUCAAAGAAUGUUAUCAGAAAUAUUUUUCUUUAAUCUUUCAUACUGUUUCUUUUGUGUUGGCAUUUUUUCAAGUAAUCUUUUCUUCAGGCAAAAAUGACCACCAAUAAUUUCAUUUUAAAUCCUAAUAGCUUAACAAUAUAAAUAAAUUGAUAUCAAUUCUUUCCUAAUAGCUACAGAAAAAUUUCAAAAGGUUUCUGCUAGUCAGAUGUACUAGUUAACCUAUUGCUUCCUAACCAAUCACCCUAAAACUCAUCAUUUAGGACAAUGAUAUUUCAUUAUUGCUCAUGAGUCUGCAGGUGGGACUAGUGGUUCUGAUAGUCUCAGUGGGACUCAUUGGUGCAUCUGAAGUCAGCUGUGGGACAACUGGCUGCUGAUCUCGUCUGGGCUCUCAACUUGUUUGGGCAACGGCAGACUGGUUGUUCUAGAGUAACGUUAGCUAGAACAACCAGGCUCUCCUCCUGUGUCUCUCACCCUCCAAAAACUUAGCCCAGACUUUUCUCAUGGCAGUUGCAUGGUUCUAAGAGAGAGGGUGGAAAUACACAAGUCAAAUUGAAGUCAAUACUUAGAAUUAGUACAUUACUUCUGCUGCAAUGUAUUUGUCCUGUUAAGUCACAAAGCCAGUCCAUAUUGAAAGGACUGGGAGGAACUGGGAAGAGGUUUAAAGUCACAUUGCAAGGGCAUGGAUACAGGGAAGGUGAAAAAUUGAGAUCAUUUUUACAAUCAAUCUCAUACUGGACUUAGGUCAGAGUCCUAUCAUUAAAUUAGUUCCUAUGAACCAGGUGUGAACAGAAAGCUUAGCAGUAAUGGUUUCUAAGGGAAAAGUGAAGGGCUGUUCCCAUAAGAAGUGAUGAUUAGAAAGCAAACUCAGCCGUUUUCCACUACAUGGGAUAUACAAGCAGGAAGUCAGUUUGUCAUAGUGUUUUAGAGCAUAAGGUUUUGAUUCAGACUGUUGAUAUUGGAAUCAUAACCCUGCCACUUCCUCUGUGUGUUUAAAACAUUACCUAACCUCCCAUAACCCAGUUUUCUCAUCUGUAGGAUAGAAAUAAUCACAGUUCUUCUCUCCUGGAGGUCUUUUAAGGAUUAAAUCAGACAAUACAAGUUAAGUGCUUUCAAGGGAACCUGGUACUUAGUAAAUGUUCACUAAAUCUUAGCUGUUUUGUAUUAUUAUUUGGCAAAAGUCAAGUUCUGAAAUAUUAUGACAAAAAGAGCCACCUAUCAGGAACAUGAUUUAAAGGAGAAAGCUUGACUUUCUUUACAAUGAUGGAGUGAGAUUCCUCCCUUUCAUUUCCACUAUACUUGCCUUACUGAAUUCAGUUUCUAGUAUCAUAUUAGAGCCCCAGGGGGAAAAUACCCUUCCAUAAAGAAAUUUAGGUAAAUUUCAGGCUUAAGGAAACAAAAGCUAUAAAUAUGAGUUUGUAGCAAGGACACAAAACUGUGUCAGCAUGGUUCCAGGGUAGUAUGGAGUUCAUCAUCAAUUAUUAAACAAGGUCAAUAUUUGUGGCACAGAGAAGGCUUUUAGCAUAUAUUAUUUAUGCAGAUGGUUGUAAUAGGUUCUCCAUCCUUGAACAGGGAGAUUUGAGAGUGGAAUACUAUUAACAAGAAAACUACUUGGCACAGGAAAUAGGAUAUCUUCUUUUCCAGGAAAUAGUUUCUCUCACUCUCUCUUCACUAUCUUAUUUCUACAAAAGGAAAGAAUCUCUAAUAAAUCUGUAAUUACUAUGCUUCUCCAUGCCUUAUAUUAUGGAGAAGGUGUAUAGGGAAGGAAGAAGAAGGUUCUAGGAAAAAAAUAAUAUUGGUUCUGGCCCUCAGGAAGCCUACAAUCUGGCUGGGUAAAUAUAGUUUCAAGUAUGAAGCAGGACAAUGGUCUAUAUUAACAAAUGCUGUAACAUGGAAUAGAGACAGAUAUUUAGGGGUUCAGUUCAGACAAGAAGUGAUCAGCAUGAGCUAAAAAAUCAUGAUGGGCAUAACAGGGGAUGGCAUUUCCCCCAAAGUGUGAUUGGGAGGCAAUGAAUCCCACCCAUUCAAUAAACAGAUACUAGCACAGGACAAUGUGAGAUCAUGUCCCUAUGGUCCAUGGGAAGAGCAUGCAUUGUGAUAGUCCAUUGACAACCAGAGAGGUUAGAAAACAUACAGGGCUUUUAAUGGUUACCUGUUAAAUGACCUGAUGGGGAAUUAGUUCUGAAUGUCAAAAGAUUAGUGUCCUUAAAAAUGAGCAAAAAGAAGAGGCAAGGGGCAGAAAUCAGAGCUCACAGAGAUUGGAACCAGCUACAUUGGACUCUUCCUCUCAAUCCCAGCCCCUGCCCCACUUUGUUUGACUUCAUCGAUCCUCAGUAUCCCCAUCUGUAAAAUGGAAAUUGCAAUAGUAGCUACUGCAUAUGGUUACCAUGAAAUCUAAGUAAAGCGGUUAACACAGUGCCUGCCACAGAAUGAUGAUUCAAUAAAUGUUAGCGCUAUUAACUUCUCUUAUUAUAGGUAUAAUUUGGGAAGUCAUAGAGUCAGAAUGUUAGAGCUGGAAAAAAUAUGACAUGCCAUCAAACCUAGCUCAGUAUAAUCUAGAGGUAUGACGUUCUCUUCUAACCAUCUUGCUUCUGAAGACAAGGCGGAAACUCAACCAAGUUGACUGCGAGUUUUUUUAUUUGCAUUUAUCUAUUGAUUUCCUCCAUAGAGGGCUUUUAUGAGACCAACUUAAUACAGCAUGUUUCCCCAUUUUCAUCAAGGAUUAUAAACAAGGUCAAUCUAUAUAGAGAUGGGCUUUCAGCAGAAACAGUGAUGUCAUCAUGCUCAAUGAGCUUCAUCGAAAGACUCUUCCAGAUAAUGAUGAGAGUAAAAUAUGCCCAGGUUCCCCUUUUGUUCCUUUAUUAAUGAAUUUGAGUCCACAGAAACUCAAUAAAGGUGACAGAGAAGGCUCAUGAGCAUCACUGAAAUCAUCCUUACCAGGGGCAACCUGCAUAUCACAAAGCCAAUUUUCCAUUAAUAAAAGACCAUACCCAGAGCAGGAUACUACGCUCUACUGCAUUUGGACUAUGUGUAGUAGAAGUGGUUCAUCUGAGUGGUGGCAGAGUCCCAAGCAUGCAAUUUGAGCUCAGUUGCUACAGGAUUUCAUUGGCUUCACUCUGGUCUUGGCUCGGUCCCUUCCUGGCCCCCACUUUUGACCAAAUUCAAACCCUCUUGCCUAGACUAUUGAGAGAGCCCCAUAGCUGGUUCUCCUACCUGUUUUCUCUUCCUAUCACCAAUCCGUUCUCCACAGGGCUGACCAAAAUAUCUUUCUCAAGCACAGACCUGCAAAUUCCCUACUUUUUAAAAGAUGCUCACUGGCUCCCCACUUCAUCUCUUAGCUUUUAUUGCCGCUGCUACUGUUGUUGCUAUUAUUGCCAUUAGAAUCACCAUCAUCAUCAUCAUCAUCAUGAUUAUCAUUUCUGGAUAAAAUCCAAACUCCUUUAAAUACAAUUCAAGAUCUUCAAAAUCAGCCACUGUUUCCAGCUUUAUAAUAAUUAAGAUAACUACCAUUUAUUGAAAGUUAAUACGUCACAGGUCCUCUGCUCAAUGGUUUACUUUCAUUAUCUCAUUUCAUUCUUACAACAAUCCUGAAAGGUAGUCUUAUCAUACCCAUUUAUCAGAUGAGGACACUGAAGCUAGGAAAAGUAAUGUAUCUUGCUUAAGGUCGCACAGUCAAUAAGCAACAGCCAGAAUUCAAACCCUGAUUUGUUCCACUCCCAAACCCAGGCUGUUAACCAUCAUUCUCUCAGCCUCAUCUCUGAUCACCUCUCCCACACUCCCAUCUCAUGCACACCUGACUACUGGCCCCUCUAAGGAAAACUGAUCCCGCAAAUUUUUCAGGCCAUUGCACAUACUUUUGCUUCUCCAUGGAAUGCUGGAACAUCCUCCAACCCAUCACAGCAAGGUAGCCACCUCAAAUGUCACUCUAGCAAUGCUGUGAGCCUCUGGCCCAGUGUCCAUGUACAGCGCUGGGUACACUCAUCUGUCAGGGGCUGCAGGCACUGGAUGCUAAAGCUAACCACUCAUAGCUCCCUUCCCCAGAAAUAUUGCCCUUGUCUUUCCUAGAGAUGUCCAGGAUGUGACCACACAGACACACACCCACUCAGGGCAAAUGACUGACUGAUGAAGAGAAAUAAAAACUCAGGCCCCUUGCGUUAGAUAGGACAACCUCUGUGGUGCAAUUUGAAAGUGCAUCUUUGCAUAGGUCCUUGCCCUGUCCUAUCCUACUUCCCUUACUACUUGGCUCCUCUAAGAGUACACCCUAAAUUAAUCCCCAUCUCAGGCUGUGCUUCUAGUGAACGGACUUAAGCCAGGCUCUUCCUCUGCGAUGCCAUUCCUUACCUCCCCAGAAAGACUUUAUAUUUUCAGCAUCAAUGCUCAUAGAACAUAUUUCCAUUAUGGCAUUUAGCAUAGCAUUUAACAGUGUUCUGAUAAUAUUGUACCGAAAGUCCUUCUCCUUCGAUAGAUCAUUGGUUCUUCUAGGUGAAGGACUGUGCCUUUUGAAGCUCUGUACCCUCACACAAUGACAAACAUUCAGGAGGCAGGCACUCCAUUUCCUCCAGCUCACAGGAAACUCUCCACCCUGCCUGUCAGACUGGAAGGGCCCUGAUCCAGAUACUUGGCUGUUACUCUGUCUGUCCCAUCUUCCAGCCCUCCUUCCCCACGACCCAGGCUCACAUUAUCAAGUUAUGUUUAAUUAAUCUAUUUUAGGGUCAGCUUUGCUUCUGCUUUCUCAUCCACAGACCCUCACCUGUCUGUCUCCUUGCCCCACCUCUGUUUAAUCUUCCUCUCUCCUUUACUGCUCAGACUUCACAGAAGUCCAGAAUUUAGGAGUACAAAUCAUCUUAUCAGAGCCAGUCCCUUGGCUGGAUGCAAAUGUAAGACCUCUUUGAUUUAUGAAUGUCAUGCUCUUCAGAGGGAGGGAGAAAUGUCCCAUUAAAUGAUAUCCAUCUCCCCAAUCCCAUUAAUAAGCUAAUUAAAAAAGUUAAAGAGAGCUUCCCUGGUGGCGCAGUG